rnacentral:rRNA from 1 species
GACGAACGCUGGCGGCGUGCUUAACACAUGCAAGUCGAACGAGUGGCGAACGGGUGAGUAAUACGUGGGUAACCUGCCCUCCUUUUUGGGAUAAGCCUUGGAAACGGGGUCUAAUACCGAAUAAAGGGGGAUGGGCUCGCGGCCUAUCAGCUUGUUGGUGGGGUGAUGGCUACCAAGGCGUGACGGGUAGCCGGCCUGAGAGGGGGACGGGCCAGAUUGGGACGGAGAAACGGCCCAGAUCACUAUGGGAGGAAGCAGGGGGGAAUAUUGGGCAAUGGGGGCAAGCCUGACCAAGCAACGCCGCGUGAAGGAAGACGGUCUUCGGAUUGUAAACUUCUGUAGACAGGGACGCGGUACCUGUAGAAUAAGCCACGGCUAAUUACGUGCCAGCGGCCGCGGUAAUA